CAGUCGCCGCGGUAAUACGGAGGGCGCGAGCGUUACCCGGAUUUACUGGGCGUAAAGGGCGUGUAGGCGGCCUGGGGCGUCCCAUGUGAAAGGCCACGGCUCAACCGUGGAGGAGCGUGGGAUACGCUCAGGCUAGAGGGUGGGAGAGGGUGGUGGAAUUCCCGGAGUAGCAGUGAAAUGCGCAGAUACCGGGAGGAACGCCGAUGGCGAAGGCAGCCACCUGGUCCACUUCUGACGCUGAGGCGCGAAAGCGUGGGGAGCAAACCGGAUUAGAUACCCCUGUAGUCCCUGUCUCUUAUAC
rnacentral:rRNA from 1 species